UACGUAGGGUGCAAGCGUUAAUCGGAAUUACUGGGCGUAAAGCGUGCGCAGGCGGUGAUGUAAGACAGCUGUGAAAUCCCCGGGCUCAACCUGGGAACUGCAUUUGUGACUGCAUCGCUGGAGUACGGCAGAGGGGGAUGGAAUUCCGCGUGUAGCAGUGAAAUGCGUAGAGAUGCGGAGGAACACCGAUGGCGAAGGCAGCCCCCUGGGCUAACACUGACGCUCAGGCACGAAAGCGUGGGGAGCAAACAGG
rnacentral:rRNA from 1 species